GGUGAUGCUGGUAUGGUUAAGAUGAUUCCGACCAAGCCUAUGGUUGUUGAGACCUUCGCUGAGUACCCACCAUUGGGUCGUUUUGCUGUGAGGGACAUGCGUCAGACUGUUGCUGUUGGUGUCAUCAAGAAUGUUGACAAGAAGGACCCAACUGGUGCCAAGGUCACCAAGGCCGCCCAGAAGAAAAAGUGAACAGUGCAGUGUAAUGCUGGUAGCCGUUCUCAGAACUGGGUACUUGACAGGCGGUGGUGAGCUUGACUUUUGAGUCUGUCUUCAUUGUGUUGAGGAGGUGCCUUGGUUUUCCACGGCAGCUCAGGUUUUUUGCUAUUUUUGUUGCCUAAAGUACUUAAUUUGAGCUUUUUAAAAUUUUCUACUCUUUGCUUUCUGUGAGUUAAGAUUAAAUUUCUUAUACAAUUCUUUUGUUGAAGAUA